UCCUUGAAAUACCACCCUGGUUUGUUUGAGGUUCUAACCUUGGCCCGUGAUCCGGGUCGGGGACAGUGCAUGGUAGGCAGUUUGACUGGGGCGGUCUCCUCCCAAAGCGUAACGGAGGAGUACGAAGGUACGCUAGGUACGGUCGGAAAUCGUGCUGAUAGUGCAAUGGCAUAAGCGUGCUUAACUGCGAGACCGACAAGUCGAGCAGGUGCGAAAGCAGGUCAUAGUGAUCCGGUGGUUCUGUAUGGAAGGGCCAUCGCUCAACGGAUAAAAGGUACUCUGGGGAUAACAGGCUGAUACCGCCCAAGAGUUCAUAUCGACGGCGGUGUUUGGCACCUCGAUGUCGGCUCAUCUCAUCCUGGGGCUGUAGCCGGUCCCAAGGGUAUGGCUGUUCGCCAUUUAAAGAGGUACGUGAGCUGGGUUUAAAACGUCGUGAGACAGUUUGGUCCCUAUCUGCCGUGGGCGUUGGAUAUUUGAAGGGGGCUGCUCCUAGUACGAGAGGACCGGAGUGGACGAACCUCUGGUGUACCGGUUGUGACGCCAGUCGCAUCGCCGGGUAGCUAUGUUCGGAAGAGAUAACCGCUGAAAGCAUCUAAGCGGGAAACUCGCCUUAAGAUGAGAUAUCCCUGGGGACUUGAUCCCCUUGAAGGGUCGUUCGAGACCAGGACGUUGAUAGGUCAGGUGUGUAAGCGCAGUAAUGCGUUCAGCUAACUGAUACUAAUUGCCCGUAAGGCUUGAUCCUAUAACA
rnacentral:rRNA from 1 species